UCUUCAGUAAGGGUCAAUUCAGACCUGAAUCUGAAAAUGAUGAGUUCGGGCGAUGAGUCAAAGUGAAUUACAACGCACGGAUCGUGGAGACUGCAACUCUUCACGAAGCCCGAGUCUGAA
rnacentral:snoRNA from 1 species